rfam:Dactylellina haptotyla CBS 200.50 unplaced genomic scaffold scaffold00058, whole genome shotgun sequence.
GCCUCUAUAGCUUAGUGGUAGAGCGUUGCACUUGUACUUCCUUCCAGGAUGUCAUGCAGAGGUCGUUUGUUCAAUCCAGACUGGAGGCA